rnacentral:rRNA from 1 species
AGAGUUUGAUCCUGGCUCAGAACGAACGCUGGCGGCAUGCCUAACACAUGCAAGUCGAACGAGGGCUUCGGCCCUAGUGGCGCACGGGUGAGUAACGCGUGGGAACCUGCCCUGUGGUACGGAAUAACUCCGGGAAACUGGAGCUAAUACCGUAUGUGUCCUGCGGGACAAAGAUUUAUCGCCAUGGGAUGGGCCCGCGUAGGAUUAGCUUGUUGGUGGGGUAACGGCCUACCAAGGCUUCGAUCCUUAGCUGGUCUGAGAGGAUGAUCAGCCACACUGGGACUGAGACACGGCCCAGACUCCUACGGGAGGCAGCAGUGGGGAAUAUUGGACAAUGGGCGCAAGCCUGAUCCAGCAAUGCCGCGUGAGUGAUGAAGGCCUUCGGGUUGUAAAGCUCUUUCGCACGCGACGAUGAUGACGGUAGCGUGAGAAGAAGCCCCGGCUAACUUCGUGCCAGCAGCCGCGGUAAUACGAAGGGGGCUAGCGUUGUUCGGAAUUACUGGGCGUAAAGGGCGCGUAGGCGGUACUUCAAGUCAGGCGUGAAAGCCCCGGGCUCAACCUGGGAACCGCGCUUGAGACUGGAGAACUAGAGUUCGGGAGAGGAUGGUGGAAUUCCCAGUGUAGAGGUGAAAUUCGUAGAUAUUGGGAAGAACACCGAUGGCGAAGGCAGCCAUCUGGACCGACACUGACGCUGAGGCGCGAAAGCGUGGGGAGCAAACAGGAUUAGAUACCCUAGUAGUCC